CCGUGAGCCUGUGCGAGGUGGUAUUUAAGGGUCUUGCUCAGCGUUUUCUUUCUCCUUUUUUGCACGGUUUUCCGUAAGGAAGAGGCGUGUUUUUGAACGUUUAAGAACCUUGAAGAGACCUCCGUUUGUUGGAGUGUGGUUCAGCUCAGUAGAGCUUACUGGCUGGAUAAUGGGACAAGACAGACCCUUGUACACAGGAUUAAAUAUAACUGGGCCUGAAAGAGCAUGUGGUAGUUCACCUGCAGCAGUCUGCUGGUGCUGUUCUUUAAAUCCAGCAUUACGGUGAUCUUUCAGCAUCUCAUCACAGAUCCUGAUGAAUUCAGGUGCCUCCCGGAGUGAAUGCAGGUGGUUGGAUGAGGCUAUAUUCAUCUGUCUUAGCAGCACAUGGAUACCAGGGAAAGGACUCCAGAGCUGAAAGGUACUGCUGGCAAUGAGCUCCUCAUUGGCUGAAAAAUAAGUAAUUUAAAUACGGUGCAUCAUCUUGCCUGGUGUCCUAGCAGUGAUUUGAGGGAGACUAGAAGCCAUGUAUCUAUUCAGCCCCAGUCUGGGGUUAGAGGUCUCAGGAAAAGAACAAGGUGCAUUUAAGUGGAACCAAAGUCUUGGAUGUUACGUUGAAAUUGGUAUGCGUGCAGUCAUUUUAGUUUGUCUGCUGCCUCUAAAUAAAGCCUGUUAUUUUUUUUUCUUUCA